CAUUUCGUCUCAGGAAGUUUCGCGUGGCCUUGCCUGUAAAGCCGCCGAGAUUGCCCGCGCAACGCGCGAGUAAUAUUCGCGGAAGAACUGGGUACCAUGUCUAAAAAUAGAUUAAGAUGGAUUACCCUACUUAGAGGGCCUAUAUGGGGGAUUCACUCUCUCACCUUGAUGAUCUCUUGUUACACGCCAUCACGCGACAAAACAGGUUUUUUUCUGGUUUUAGUAAUUCCAACCAACUCUUAUAAAAGGCCUGCCACCAAACAGCUUCAGCAUAACUCACCAAGUUUACUACAGAGGGAGAACACUAGAGACUUGCUUGAUACCGAACAAGAGACAGGUCAGCCAAGCAACCAUCAUGAAUGUUCAAUUUUUGGUUUCAUUGGUUAUUACAUUGGGGUUUGUAGCCGGUCUCGAAGCGGUGUGCUGCAAGAGAAGAUCCGAUUUCUUGUGCUGUGGAAAUGGUAAAUGCAAUACAUUCUGCUGUGAUUGUGAUGGUGGAUGCAAUGCACAAUGCGAAGUUACUCACUGUGACCCAAUCGAUUGGUUGGAAUGUGUCGGUAUUAUAGCUGCAUGUGCAGGUGUCUGCUCUUUCGCUGAAAUCGACGAGCCAGAGUGUAUUGAGUGCCUCGGAAAGUUGUAUGAAAUAUGUAAGAAAUGUUAUUCACCUGUUGAUAAACGCAGAGCUAUGAAUGAUACCAUUUUCAUGCUGAAUGCUUAUCACAAGGAUAUAAGUCAUCAUAAUAUGGUCUCUACCAUGAACGAACUCUUGCAACGGGUUAAGCUGACCAAAGAAGAGAAGAAAAAAGGCGAACUUUAAGCGUAUUCUAUUUUAUCUGUAUUCUCACACUAGCAUUAAGGAUAAUUGCUGCCGCUGCGAGCGAGCAAGGCAGCAGACCAAAUUGAUGUAGUUGAGCAUUUUCUAGAUUUUGCCUUAGCGCUUGCAUUGUGGUCAAAUAUUAGAUAGACCCAAAAUGCAAUGUGCGCUGUUAGUAUAGAUUUAGGUGAUCACGCUUUGUCCUGCAUCAAUACAAUAAAUGUCAACAGUAAUAAACCCAACUGUCAAAAUGAA